rnacentral:rRNA from 1 species
UCCCAUGCUCAUAACACCUUGUCAGUGCCUGAUUGCUGAAGCUAAGCGGGACUGGGUCUGGUUAGUACUCAGAUGGGAGACCGCUGGGGAAUAGCAGGUGCCACAGUGGGGC